UCUAUACUUUCUCCGUCCGAAAAUACUUGUCCUAGAGAUGAAUAUAUCUAGACUUAUUUUAGUUAUAAAUACAUCAAUUAUAUUUAUUUUUAGGACAAGUAUUUCCGGACGGAUGGAGUAUGAG
rfam:Hordeum vulgare subsp. vulgare, WGS project CAJW01000000 data, contig: morex_contig_135678